rnacentral:lncRNA from 10 species
AGCUAAGCCAAGAGAAUCACUUGAACCCAGGAGGCAGAGGUUGCAGUGAGCUGAGAUCACCCCCACUACACUCCAGCCUUGGUGACAGAGUGAGAUUCUUGUCUUAAAAAUAAUAAUAAUUUUUUUUUUUUUUUUAAGAUAUAGAGUCUCACUACGUUGCCCAGGCUGGUCUCGAACUCCUGGCCUCAAGCCAUCGUCCCACGUUAACCUUCCAAAGCGCUGAUUACAGGCAUGAGCCACCCCGACACUGGGGGGCCAGAGCGGCAGGCGCUGCACAGAGCUGGGCCCAGGGAUCGGGAGGAGGGGACAGUUUAGAUGUCCUGAGGUCAGCCCUGCCAAGGCAGGAAGGUCCUUUGGUUUUCAAGCUUCAGAUACGGGACAGGAUGUGACAGGCCAAGGACGCCACCCCUGUUCCCCUCCUGACUUGGAUGUGGCCAGGAGAGAAGUGGGACUGGGUAAGGUCUGGGCCACUUUUGCCUGGUCUGCAUCCUCUUUUUCUGACUUUGUGGUAUUCAGUACAGGAGGAAGAGAGGAGAGAACUGGGUGCUAGUGUGCGCCCCACUCAGUGUCCUAAGGAAAGCCCCCUCAAACCCCCCAACCACAGGGAGGAAGCUCCCUGUGACAGGCAGUGGGUCAUCUACCUCUUAGUCACCAGUCUAAACCUUCUUGCCUCGAGCUGGGAUGCGGCCCUGGGCUCACUCGUGUCUCGAGAGAUAUUGGGCCCCAUCCACUCCGAGGAUGGACUCCUGGCCCCACUGGCCCAGUCGGGCCCCACCCUGGACAUGCCGGUUCCUUCCAGCUUCAACGACAUUGGCCAGGACUGGCGGCUGCGGCAUUUUGUCAGCCAGGUGUAG